rnacentral:rRNA from 1 species
CACGCCGUAAACGAUGUCAACUAGCCGUUGGGACUCUUGAAGUCUUAGUGGCGCAGCUAACGCACUAAGUUGACCGCCUGGGGAGUACGGCCGCAAGGUUAAAACUCAAAUGAAUUGACGGGGGCCCGCACAAGCGGUGGAGCAUGUGGUUUAAUUCGACGCAACGCGAAGAACCUUACCUGGCCUUGACAUCCAGAGAACUUUCCAGAGAUGGAUUGGUGCCUUCGGGAACUCUGAGACAGGUGCUGCAUGGCCGUCGUCAGCUCGUGUCGUGAGAUGUUGGGUUAAGUCCCGUAACGAGCGCAACCCCUAUCCCUGGUUGCUAGCAGGUAAUGCUGAGAACUCCAGGGAGACUGCCGGUGACAAACCGGAGGAAGGUGGGGAUGACGUCAGGUCAUCAUGGCCCUUACGGCCAGGGCUACACACGUGCUACAAUGGCGCGUACAGAGGGCUGCCAACUCGCGAGAGUGAGCCAAUCCCUUAAAACGCGUCGUAGUCCGGAUCGGAGUCUGCAACUCGACUCCGUGAAGUCGGAAUCGCUAGUAAUCGCGAAUCAGAAGACGCGGAAUGCG